UCCAGGAAAAGAGUUUGAAAUCACUGCUCCAACUGAAAGACAGUACUCUCUUUGGAGAGAAAGAGAAAAAAGCAAACUGGUCUCUUCAUUCUUCUGAUGGCAGCGACAGAAGAUAAGCGAGGUUAUUUGGUGGAGGCUGAUACAGCGUGUUGGGUCAUGCAUAGCAGCUUUUGACAUCCACACUGUCGCUUGGUGACUGCUCUUAUCUCCCUAGACCUGUCAACUUGGGGUUUUUUCACCAGCACUCCGCCACAUCCAAAAAGACCCUCAUCAUACUGAACGCAACCUUCCUUCACGACUGAGAGUGAUAUGUUUAGUGGACCACAGAGAGCCGCAGCAUCACAAAUCUCAGGCUGUUUACUCUGUUGCUAUGGAGACGGUUCUCUUGGUCUGUGCUGAUGGAAACAUCUCUACAGGAAGAUGAUGAUUAAGGUGAAGGUGAGAAGGAUGAAUGGAUAAACACAGUGUGGAGUGGAAAAUCUCGCAGCAGAUUUCAGAAAUGCAAAGCUGAAUAUAAAACCGUGGAUCCAUCAGUGCUCAUAAUGCCUCCUGGGACUCUUAAAGAACGUAACACUCUGACAAGCUCUGAUGUGUUUAUUUAUAAGAAACAAUUUGAAAAUCAAACUAAUAAAGCUGAUAAUUAAGAAAGCCUACUGUCAUGUAU